ACAGCAGCCGCCGCGGGAAUACGUAGGUCCCGAGCGUUGUCCGGAUUUAUUGGGCGUAAAGCGAGCGCAGGCGGUUAGAAAAGUCUGAAGUGAAAGGCAGUGGCUCAACCAUUGUAGGCUUUGGAAACUGUUUAACUUGAGUGCAGAAGGGGAGAGUGGAAUUCCAUGUGUAGCGGUGAAAUGCGUAGAUAUAUGGAGGAACACCGGUGGCGAAAGCGGCUCUCUGGUCUGUAACUGACGCUGAGGCUCGAAAGCGUGGGGAGCGAACAGGAUUAGAUACCCCCGUAGUCCCUGUCUCUUAUACA
rnacentral:rRNA from 1 species